AACGAACGCUGGCGGCAUGCCUAACACAUGCAAGUCGAACGGGAUCCUAGCUUGCUAGGUGAGAGUGGCGGACGGGUGAGUAACACGUGGGAAUCUGCCUUUUGGUUCGGGAUAACCGCGGGAAACUGCGGCUAAUACCGAAUGCCCUCGAGAGAGGAAAGAUUUAUCGCCAGAAGAGGAGCCCGCGUCCGAUUAGGUAGUUUGGUGGGGUAAAGGCCUACCAAGCCGACGAUCGGUAGCUGGUCUGAGAGGAUGAUCAGCCACACUGGACUGAGAUACGGCCCAGACUCCUACGGGAGGCAGCAGUGGGGAAUAUUGGACAAUGGGGGCAACCCUGAUCCAGCAAUGCCGCGUGAGUGAUGAAGGCCUUAGGGUUGUAAAGCUCUUUGCC
rnacentral:rRNA from 1 species